rnacentral:snRNA from 1 species
AGAAUCAAUGUAUGUACUCUGUAUACUAAAAUUGAAACAAUACAGAGAAGAUUAGCAUGACUCCUGUGCAAGGAUAACACAUAAAUUUGUGAAAUGUUCCAUUAAAAA